rnacentral:rRNA from 1 species
CUACCCUUGACAUGUCUGGAAUUGCGCAGAGAUGUGCAAGUGCCCGAAAGGGAGCCAGAACACAGGUGCUGCAUGGCUGUCGUCAGCUCGUGUCGUGAGAUGUUGGGUUAAGUCCCGCAACGAGCGCAACCCUUGUCAUUAGUUGCUACAUUCAGUUGGGCACUCUAAUGAGACUGCCGGUGACAAACCGGAGGAAGGUGGGGAUGACGUCAAGUCCUCAUGGCCCUUAUGGGUAGGGCUACACACGUCAUACAAUGGCCGGUACAAAGGGUUGCCAACCCGCGAGGGGGAGCUAAUCCCAUAAAACCGGUCGUAGUCCGGAUCGUAGUCUGCAACUCGACUGCGUGAAGUCGGAAUCGCUAGUAAUCGUGGAUCAGCAUGUCACGGUGAAUACGUUCCC